rnacentral:siRNA from 1 species
AGGUGACAAGCUUUCAUGUGCUA